CCUACGGGCGGCAGCAGUGAGGAAUAUUGGUCAAUGGCCGCAGGGCUGAACCAGCCAAGCCGCGUGAGGGAUGACGGUGCCAAGGAUUGUAAACUUCUUUUGUCAGGGAACAAAGGGCGCCACGUGUGGCGCUUUGCGAGUACCUGAAGAAAAAGCAUCGGCUAACUCCGUGCCAGCAGCCGCGGUAAUACGGAGGAUGCGAGCGUUAUCCGGAUUUAUUGGGUUUAAAGGGUGCGUAGGCGGAAUGUCAAGUCAGCGGUAAAAUUUCGGGGCUCAACCCCGUCGAGCCGUUGAAACUGGCGUUCUUGAGUGGGCGAGAAGUAUGCGGAAUGCGUGGUGUAGCGGUGAAAUGCAUAGAUAUCGCGCAGAACUCCGAUUGCGAAGGCAGCAUACCGGCGCUGAACUGACGCUCAUGCACGAAAGCGUGGGUAUCGAACAGGAUUAGAUACCCCAGUAGUC
rnacentral:rRNA from 1 species